rfam:Danio rerio chromosome 4, GRCz11 reference primary assembly.
GCAUUAGUGGUUCAGUGGUAGAAUUCUUGCCUGCCACGCGGGAGACCCGGGUCCGAUUCCCGGCCAAUGCA